rnacentral:rRNA from 1 species
UACGUAGGUGACAAGCGUUGUCCGGAUUUACUGGGCGUAAAGAGCGCGCAGGCGGUCGAUCAAGUCGAGUGUGAAAGCCCCCGGCUCCAACGUGGGGAGGGUCAUUCGGAUACUGAUCGACUCGAAGGCAGGAGAGGGUAGUGGAAUUCCCGGUGUAGUGGUGGAAAUGCGCAGAUAUCAGGAAGAACACCAAUGGCGAAGGCAGCUCUCUGGGACGGUACUGACGGCUGAGACGCGAAAGCGUGGGGGAGCGAACAGG